rnacentral:rRNA from 1 species
UAUCUCUGUAGAGUCUGCAUAUCAAUAAGCGGAGGAAAAGAAACUAACAAGGAUUCCCCUAGUAACGGCGAGUGAAGCGGGAAGAGCUCAAAUUUGAAAUCUUCAAGGUUUUACCUUGACGAAUUGUAGUUUAAAGAAGUGUUUUCUGUUGAAGUUUCGGUAAAAGUUCUUUGGAAUAGGACAUCAUAGAGGGUGAGAAUCCCGUAUUUGACCGUUACUUUCCAGCUGUGUGAUACACUUUCAAAGAGUCGGAUUGUUUGGGAAUGCAGUCCAAGAUGGGUGGUAAAUUUCAUCUAAAGCUAAAUAUUGGCGAGAGACCGAUAGCGAACAAGUACCGUGAGGGAAAGAUGAAAAGAACUUUGAAAAGAGGGUUAAACAGUACGUGAAAUUGUCAAAAGGGAAGCGUUUGACACCAGUGUUGUUUAGUUGAAAAUCAAUUAAAUAGUUUUCGAUUUUAAGUAGUAUUGACCUUAUCAGCUUGCUGCUUUCUUCUCGGAAAUUAUUUAAUGCACUUUUCAGUUAACAAGUCAACAUCAAUUUCUUUUGUUGUAAAAGGGUAAGAGGAAGGUGGCUUGCGCUUCGGCUCAAGUGUUUAUAGCCUUUUAUCUCUGCAAUCGGAGAGAUUGAGGUCUGCAGCGUAGAUCCUUCGGGGUUAGAUACAUUUGUGCUAAGCUAUAGCCUUGUAUAGACAACUUGUUGACUAUGCUCAGUCAUGUAGCUUACUCGCUUAUGCUAUUUUACCUACGCUUAGGAUGUUGAUCUCUCACAGUCGAGC